rnacentral:rRNA from 1 species
UACAGAGGGGGCAAGCGUUGUUCGGAAUUACUGGGCGUAAAGGGCGCGUAGGCGGCCACCGCAAGUCGACUGUGAAAUCUCCGGGCUUAACUCGGAAAGGUCAGCCGAUACUGCGGGGCUAGAGUGCAGAAGGGGCAACUGGAAUUCUCGGUGUAGCGGUGAAAUGCGUAGAUAUCGAGAGGAACACCUGCGGCGAAGGCGGGUUGCUGGGCUGACACUGACGCUGAUUGUGCGAAAGCUAGGGAGCGAACGGG